rnacentral:rRNA from 1 species
GAUGAACGCUGGCGGCGUGCCUAAUACAUGCAAGUCGAGCGAAGAGACGAGGAGCUUGCUCCUCUGACGUUAGCGGCGGACGGGUGAGUAACACGUGGAUACCAACCUUUAACGUUGGGUUAAACUUCGGAAAGCGGGGUCAACUCCCGACAAAUAUUUUGACCCACUGGGUUCAUUGGUAAAGGACGGUUUUUUGGUCCCUUGAGGAUGGUUCGGCGCCGCAUUGGCUAGUUGGUAGGGUAAGGGCUUACCAAGGCGACGGUGCGUAGCCGACCGGAGGGGGUGAUCGGCCACACUGGACCUGAGACACGGCCCGGACUCCUACGGGAGGCAGCAGUAGGGAAUCUUCCGCAAUGGGCGAAAGCCUGACGGAGCAACGCCGCGUGGGUGAUGAAGGUCUUCGGAUCGUAAAACUCUGUUAUUGGGGAGGAACAAAUGUGUAAGUAACUAUGCACGUCUUGACGGUACCUAAUCAGAAAGCCACGGCUAACUACGUG